GAUGAACGCUGGCGGCGUGCCUAAUACAUGCAAGUCGAGCGAACGGACGAGAAGCUUUCUUCUCUGAUGUUAGCGGCGGAAGGGUGAGUAACACGUGGAUAACCUACCUAUAAGACUGGGAUAACUUCGGGAAACCGUAGCUAAUACCGGAUAAUAUUUUGAACCGCAUGGUUCAAAAGUGAAAGACGGUCUUGCUGUCACUUAUAGAUGGAUCCGCGCUGCAUUAGCUAGUUGGUAAGGUAACGGCUUACCAAGGCAACGAUGCAUAGCCGACCUGAGAGGGUGAUCGGCCACACUGGAACUGAGACACGGUCCAGACUCCUACGGGAGGCAGCAGUAGGGAAUCUUCCGCAAUGGGCGAAAGCCUGACGGAGCAACGCCGCGUGAGUGAUGAAGGUCUUCGGAUCGUAAAACUCUGUUAUUAGGGAAGAACAUAUGUGUAAGUAACUGUGCACAUCUUGACGGUACCUAAUCAGAAAGCCACGGCUAACUACGUG
rnacentral:rRNA from 1 species